rnacentral:rRNA from 1 species
CGGGGUGCAGCAGGCGCGAAAACUCUACAAUGCAGGCAACUGCGAUAGGGGAACAUCGAGUGAUACUCAUCUUGGGUGUCUGUCCUCCCGUCUAAAAAACGGGAGUUAGCAAGGGCCGGGCAAGACCGGUGCCAGCCGCCGCGGUAAUACCGGUGCUCGAGUGGUGGCCGAUAUUAUUGAGUCUAAAGGGUCCGUAGCCGGCUUUGCAAGUCUUUUGGGAAAUCCAGCGGCUUAACCGUUGGUCGUCCGGGAGAUACUACAUUGCUUGGGACUGGGAGAGGUAGGAGGUACUCAGGGGGUAGGAGUGAAAUCCUGUAAUCCUUUGGGGACCACCGGUGGCGAAGGCGUCCUACCAGAACAGGUCCGACGGUGAGGGACGAAAGCUAGGGGCACGAACCGGAUUAGAUACCCGGGUAGUCCUAGCCGUAAACGAUGCUCGCUAGGUGUCACAACAAUCGUGAAUUGUUGUGGUGCCGUAGGGAAGCCGUGAAGCGAGCCACUUGGGAAGUACGACCGCAAGGUUGAAACUUAAAGGAAUUGGCGGGGGAGCACAAGGGCGAUUCGCGG